UGCCAGCCGCCGCGGUAAGACAGAGGGUGCAAACGUUGUUCGGAAUCACUGGGCAUAAAGCGCACGUAGGCGGUCCGUUAAGUUGGGUGUGAAAGCCCUCGGCUCAACCGAGGAACUGCACUCAAUACUGGCGGACUUGAGGACGGUAGGGGUGAGUGGAACUCCAGGUGGAGCGGUGAAAUGCGUAGAUAUCUGGAGGAACACCGGUGGCGAAAGCGGCUCACUGGACCGUAACUGACGCUGAGGUGCGAAAGCUAGGGUAGCAAACGGGAUUAGAUA
rnacentral:rRNA from 1 species